AAUCAACGCUGGCGGCGUGCCUCAGACAUGCAAGUCGAACGAUUAAGACUUCCUUCGGGAAGUGUAUAAAGUGGCGCACGGGUGAGUAACACGUAAGUAAUCUACCUUCGAGUGGGGAAUAACAUCGGGAAACCGAUGCUAAUACCGCAUAAUGCAGCGGCAUCGCAAGAUGACAGAUGUUAAAGGAGCAAUUCGCUUGAAGAGGAGCUUGCGGCAGAUUAGCUAGUUGGUAAGGUAAUGGCUUACCAAGGCUACGAUCUGUAUCCGGUCUAAGAGGACGGUCGGACACACUGACACUGAAUGACGGGUCAGACUCCUACGGGAGGCAGCAGUCGGGAAUUUUGGGCAAUGGGCGAAAGCCUGACCCAGCAACGCCGCGUGAGGGAUGAAGUAUUUCGGUAUGUAAACCUCGAAAGAAUGGGAAGAAUAAAUGACGGUACCAUUUAUAAGCUCCGGCUAACUACGUGCCAGCCGCCGCCGUAACAC
rnacentral:rRNA from 1 species